GGUUACCGAACACGCCCUAAGUGCCUUCCCUCUGCCGCCCCUCCCGCUCCACGGCUCCAAGCCACCGACGCGUUCUCCCGCUCCUCUCUUUCAUCGGGAAGGCGGGAAGGAUCCAUGGAUCUGGGCUGAACCGUUGCGGCCGACUUAGAUCCGGCCGGAUUCACGCUCUUCUUGCCGAGCAGCGGGAAGGAGCAGACCUUACUAUCCGUGGCCCGCGAGAGGAUGGGGAGGCCGUACAGCGGCGCUUGCUUCCAGGGCUGCCGCUCGCCUCAGCUUUCAGGCCAGCUUACUGCCUCGUUGAGCUGCAGGAGUAAUCCUUGAAUAGUUGCAGCCAAAAGUGGGAGCAAUAAAAAUGGGAAGGAAGGCUGGCGUAAAUGAAGCCGUCUGAUCAGCAAAAUCAAGGUGUGAUUAUGUCACGAGAUAUAUUUUCCUCUCGGCAUGAGGGAAGUAGCAGAGUCAUAGAUGUUGGCAUGCAAACUGUGUUCCUCCGCAUUUUGGAAGAACUAGCCGAACGCCACACAGAAGAACUUCCUGAUGAAGCAAAUGUUAGCUUCAUCAUGGCAACCUAUAUGGAGGUUGAUCAAGACUCUAGUGACUCCCUUCUUAAAAGGUGUUGUACCAUGUCAAUGUCACAUUAUUACGAAUUUGAGGGUUGAACAGAAACUCUCCUUAGCACUGGGCAAGAAUUAUAUGCUUCACUGCUCGGCAUGUCAUCAUUUCGACUUUCUUAAAGGUGUGCAUCAACAAGUUCUAUAAAUGACUUGUCCUUCCGUGAUCUUAUCAAGAAUGUUGUGUUUAUUUGGAAGGGUGUGUGCAAACCGAGCAACGAGGUUAACUCCAUUGAAUUUUCUGCUCCCAAGAAGCUCAAGACUGAAUAUGGUUUUGGGUGCAGCUUCCUCGGUGAAGCACAUUUUCAACUAUUUAAGGGGCGGUGAUGGUUAUCAUGCACCUCCCAUGUCCAUUUAUUCCGAGCAUACACCUGCCAGCGUCAACGGGGUGGACUAACUGGACCAGGCAUGCUGGUCCCGAAUAAAUAAAAAAUCGAGUGGUUUAGAACAUUGGCAUUGAAGCAAUACACUUUCAAUUUCAGGUUACCCGAGUGGAUUGCAUGAUUUGGGCAAAAAAUGGCGUGGAAGAACAAAAUAACAGAAAGAGGGACAUGGGAUGAAAAGAUUGGCAAUUCUGAAGAACAAUGUAGCCUGGAGAAAGCGAAUGUUAAAAGUACCUGAACUCCGAAGUUCUCCAGCCUUGCUUUCACUUUUAUGCUGCCUUUGCUCUGGUCGCUUUUUUAUGCUGCCUUUGCUCUGGUCGCUUUUAUGCUGCCUCCAGGUACGAGACGAAGCACAGGUCAAGCUGACCCCGGUAAGCUUUUCCCACCUGAAGCCAUGACUUUUGAGCUUGGGCACUGGUCGCCCUAUAGUCAAGUCAAGAACGGAGAUUGCCCAAUUAUUUUUCUUAUUAGUCCUAUCGCUAGUCCUAUGUCGAGACAACGGAUUCAGGUUAGAAGAGAAGGAAAAUGCCGACAUAUGACUAUGACAACUGGGCUAGUAAUUGACACAUUCAGAGGCAAUUUCGGAUGUGUGGAAUUCAAGAGGACUGUAGCUGCCGUUCCAUGGAGGUUCAUAGUGGUUUCGGGAGCUACUUUUUGCAUAUGUUGUCGCU